AUCACUCUAACACCUUAUCCUUGAGUAAUCAUGAUAAAUUGAUCAUUUGGUACUAGAAAAUCACUUGCCAUUAUAUCAAACACAGUUGAAAGCUAUUUGGUUCAUUAAAUGAAGCUUAACAUUGUCUUUGUGUUUGUUUUUGAGUUGCCACAGUAUGCAAUAGACUGGCAUGUCUUAAGGUCAAUGUUAGGUAAAAAUGGUAAAAAAGAAACAGCUUUCUCUAGAAACUCAUCAUUCAAUCAUUGUUUUGAGGAAUGAAGGUUAUACAAUGCUUGAAAAAGAUUUCAUACAAAGGUGUACACUACAGUCUUCAAAGACAAAGGACAACUGGCUCUAACAAGGACAGAAAGAGAUGUGGAAGGCCAGAUGUACAACUAAACAAGAGGAUAAGUACAUCAGAGUCUCUAGUUUGAGAAAUAGACGCCUCACAUGUCCUCAGCUGACAGCUUCAUUGAAUUCUACCCGCUCAACACCAGUUUCAUGUACAACAGUAAAGAGAAGACUCAGGGGUGCAGGCCUUAUGGGAAGAAUUGCAAAGAAAAAGCCACUUUUGAAACAGAAAAUCAAAAAGAAAAGGUUAGAGUGGGCAAAGAAACACAGACAUUGGACAGCAGAUAAUUGGAAAAGAGUGUUCUGGAUCUUAACCCCAUUGAGCUUUUGUGGGAUCAGCUAGACUGUAAGGUGCGUGAGAAGUGCCCGACAAGACAGACACAUCUAUGGCAAGUGCUACAGGAAGUGUGGGGUGAAAUGUCACCUGAGUAUCUGGACAAACUGACAGCUAGAAUAACAAGGAUCUGCAAAGCUGUCAUUGCUGCAUGUGGAGGAUUGUUUUGAUGAGAACUCUUUGAAGUAGUUUAAGAAGUUCUGAACAUUUUAUUCAAAUUGUAAUAGUAAUUUUUCACAUUAUUAAUGUCC